AAAAAAGGUAAGCUACUAAGAGCGAAUGGUGGAUGCCUUGACUGGUAAAGGCGAUGAAGGACGUACUAGACUGCGAUAAGCUACGGGGAGCUGUCAAGAAGCUUUGAUCCGUAGAUUUCCGAAUGGGGCAACCCAAUGUAUAGAGAUAUACAUUACCUAUAUAGGAGCGAACGAGGGGAAUUGAAACAUCUUAGUACCCUCAGGAAAAGAAAUCAAUAGAGAUUGCGUCAGUAGCGGCGAGCGAAAGCGCAAGAGGGCAAACCCAGUGCUUGCACUGGGGGUUGUAGGACUGCAAUGUGCAAGAGGUAAGUUUAGCAGAACAUUCUGGAAAGUAUAACCAUAGAGGGUGAUAGUCCCGUAUGCGAAAAACAAACCUUAGCUAGCAGUAUCCUGAGUAGGGCGGGACACGAGGAAUCCUGUCUGAAUCCGGGUCGACCACGAUCCAACCCUAAAUACUAAUACCAGAUCGAUAGUGCACAAGUACCGUGAGGGAAAGGUGAAAAGAACUGAGGUGAUCAGAGUGAAAUAGAACCUGAAACCAUUUGCUUACAAUCAUUCAGAGCCCUAUGUAGCAAUACAGGGUGAUGGACUGCCUUUUGCAUAAUGAGCCUGCGAGUUGUGGUGUCUGGCAAGGUUAAGCAAACGCGAAGCCGUAGCGAAAGCGAGUCUGAAUAGGGCGCUUAGUCAGAUGCUGCAGACCCGAAACGAAGUGAUCUAUCCAUGAGCAAGUUGAAGCUAGUGUAAGAACUAGUGGAGGACUGAACCCAUAGGCGUUGAAAAGCCCCGGGAUGACUUGUGGAUAGGGGUGAAAGGCCAAUCAAACUUCGUGAUAGCUGGUUCUCUCCGAAAUAUAUUUAGGUAUAGCGUUGUGUCGUAAUAUAAGGGGGUAGAGCACUGAAUGGGCUAGGGCAUACACCAAUGUACCAAACCCUAUCAAACUCCGAAUACCUUAUAUGUAAUCACAGCAGUCAGGCGGCGAGUGAUAAAAUCCGUCGUCAAGAGGGAAACAACCCAGACUACCAGCUAAGGUCCCUAAAUCUUACUUAAGUGGAAAACGAUGUGAAGUUACUUAAACAACCAGGAGGUUGGCUUAGAAGCAGCCAUCCUUUAAAGAAAGCGUAAUAGCUCACUGGUCUAGUGAUUUUGCGCGGAAAAUAUAACGGGGCUAAAGUAAGUACCGAAGCUGUAGACUUG
rnacentral:rRNA from 1 species